UACGUAGGGUGCAAGCGUUGUCCGGAAUUAUUGGGCGUAAAGAGCUCGUAGGCGGUCUGUCGCGUCUGCUGUGAAAACUCGGGGCUUAACCCCGGGCCUGCAGUGGGUACGGGCAGACUAGAGUGCGGUAGGGGGAGACUGGAAUUCCUGGUGUAGCGGUGAAAUGCGCAGAUAUCAGGAGGAACACCGGUGGCGAAGGCGGGUCUCUGGACAGUUCCUGACGCUGAGGCACGAAGGCCAGGGGAGCAAACGGG
rnacentral:rRNA from 1 species